UCACAACUUGUAACCUAUAUCCACUGAGCCCCCUGGUAAUGCUGGGCCUCAUGAAUUCGUGAUGUUUACCUCCCCUUUACGGCGCCCCAGCGAAUGACACACU